rnacentral:rRNA from 1 species
GCUAAACGCGAAGAACCUUACCCACACUUGACAUGCCUCUUUUGGCUUUCAGAGAUGAUUGCCUUCGGUUCGGCCGGGGAGUGCACAGGUGCUGCAUGGCUGUCGUCAGCUCGUGUCGUGAGAUGUUGGGUUAAGUCCCGCAACGAGCGCAACCCUUAUCGUAUGUUGCCAGCAUUUAGUUGGGCACUCGUGCGAGACUGCCGGUGAUAAGCCGGAGGAAGGCGGGGACGACGUCAAGUCAUCAUGGCCCUUACGUGUGGGGCUAGAAACGUGCUACAAUGGGAGUGACAGUGAGCAGCAAGGUCGCGAGGCCAAGCUAAUCUCCAAAAGCUCUCUCAGUUCAGAUUGUCCUCUGCAACUCGAGGGCAUGAAGUUGGAAUCGCUAGUAAUCGGCCAUCAGCAUGGGCCGGUGAAUACGUUCCCGGGUCUUGUACACACCG